CCUACGGGAGGCAGCAGUGAGGAAUAUUGGUCAAUGGACGAGAGUCUGAACCAGCCAAGUAGCGUGAAGGAUGACUGCCCUAUGGGUUGUAAACUUCUUUUAUAUGGGAAUAAAAUGUUCCACGUGUGGGAUUUUGUAUGUACCAUAUGAAUAAGGAUCGGCUAACUCCGUGCCAGCAGCCGCGGUAAUACGGAGGUUCCGAGCGUUAUCCGGAUUUAUUGGGUUUAAAGGGAGCGUAGGUGGAUUUUUAAGUCAGUUGUGAAAGUUUGCGGCUCAACCGUAAAAUUGCAGUUGAAACUGGCAGUCUUGAGUACAGUAGAGGUGGGCGGAAUUCGUGGUGUAGCGGUGAAAUGCUUAGAUAUCACGAAGAACUCCGAUUGCGAAGGCAGUUCACUGGACUGCAACUGACACUGAGGCUCGAAAGUGUGGGUAUCAAACAGGAUUAGAUACCCGAGUAGUC
rnacentral:rRNA from 1 species